CCCGCCCUGAGCGCUUCCUCCGAAGCACUAUAGCCCAGCCGUGUCUGCAAGCCGAGCCGCGGAACGUGCCCCGACCGAACAGCCCUCCAGAGCCGACCCGAACUCGGGCCGGCAAAGGCAGCCUCUGGGCGGAUGAACCGUUCCGGGCCAGGGAGGCCCGGGAUCCCCGCUCCGCGGUUCACCCGACGGGCUCAGGGCGGUCGGGGCACGCGCCCGGGACCACGUUUCUCCUCCUCUGCUGCUGCGUGACUGCCCCGCACCUGGAGCCCGGCUCGGGGCGGUCUGCACCCUCCAAACACCCCUGCGAGUGCAGGAGGGAUGCCGAGGCAGGAUUUGUCUUGCAGAAUAGCCAGUGCCCCAGACCUGAAAUCACUACUACUUGGAGUACUACAGGUAGCUUUGAAAAUUUUAAAUAAUGUUCCAUGGAUACAUAGUUUCAGUUAUCCAAGAUGAGAAAGCUCUGGAGAUUGUUUGCACAACAAAAGGAGUAUACUUAGCACUACUGAACGUACAUUUGAAAAUGGUUAAGAAGAAAGGAAGAAGAAAUUGGAAGUUUGCUCUCUCAACUUAUUUAUGGAAGAUAAGACCAUUAUCUACAUUGAGUUUGUGAAGAUUCUAUACUACUCCUUUUAUUGUGAUAUAGUUGCUGGUUGCUCUAAGAGAGCCUCUCUGGAAGCUUCAGCUGAUAAUCCUGACAUGAGACCAGAGAUCACAAGGAAAAUCCAGCUGUGAUGUGUGUCACCCCAGGAUCGACAGUAAAAAGCAGGGAAAGGGUCCCUCAGCCCUGGCCUGAGCCCUGACUGCAGCCCGGCUCCCUGCCCCCAGCACGUUCUGCACAGCAUCUCUGGCAAGCCAGCUGCUGAUCAGCUCACCGCCCUCCCUCCCCUGUGGGAGAGUACAGGGACACACACAUGAUCAAUCACAUGCGGCUCUCCCUUCCUCGAGGACUCCGGGAGACAGAUAUUGUGCUCCAUAGAUAUGCACAAUAUGGCGGACUCGAUUCAUGCAAACUCAAUCAGCUCCUGAAGGUUCCUGACUUCAGUGCAGAUGACUAUGGAAAUGCAAUGAUGCUUGAGUGCUGCUCCUCACUGAGCACCACAGUGUGUGUCACGAUUCCUGCCGGAUUCUCUGCCCUGGCUGGAAAGGCAGAUCAGAGAGUGCUUGGGUUUGUGGUCCCUGCAUGGCAGCACAAAAGGAGAUGAAGAGGAAAUGGUAGGCGUCUGAAGAAGGGAUUUGGGCAGAGCUGCUGGUUGUGCUUUUGACAAACAGAAACCUGCACAAACACCGGCGAGGGUGGAAAGAGUCCUGGCUAACUUUGGAAGAUGCCUCCAGAUGACUCCAGUAGGCCUUUUCACAGAUGCAGCCAUCUGUGACAUUGUGGUCACAGCCUCUCCACCAACUUAGACAUUUCCACAGGGCCGGAGCAGCUGAAGCACUCUCAUAAAGUGUUCCCAACACCCACCUUGUUUCUCUCACUUUGUAUUUUGUCUGGCUUUGAAUACCUUGGACCAAUAUGGAGUUAAUACCCCUUAGUUCCCUGAAAUAGAGUGCUGUUUUGAUAGUGUUAUAGCUAGUGUCUAGAUGUCCCUCCAAAGCCUCAUGCAGUCAGAGGUGGGGCUUUUUCAGAAGUGGCUGGAUCUCACGUGUGUGACACUGGAAUUGAUUCACGGUAGAAUGCUAGGCUCAAAGGCACUAGGAUUAAGGGAGUGAGUGCUACCUACCCUAAGUAGUCUGGAUAAGAUUUCUUUUUAAAAAGGGCAGAAAGACACUGUUAAGGUCCCUUUUUGCUUUGCUACCUUCUGCCCGCCAUGAACUGUUCUCCUCUGCAAUACCACCCUGCCUUGGAGCCAGCCAAUUAUGGACUGAAACAUCUACAAAUUGUGAGCUAAUAAACCUUUCCUUUAAUUUUGGAUGUCGGGUAUUUUGUCUCAGCAAUGAGAGAAAAGUAACUAAGACAGAUAGUGACGGCUUAUUAAGUGAGUGGUAGCAUUUAUAUUGGCACAGGACUUCUACAUACAUUACUUAGACUUGAUUCUCACAACUCAUGAUGGCAAGAAAAGCAAGUGAUAAAUAGUUACCCCUUGGUAUCCUUGGGAAAUUGGUUCUAGGACUCUCCCACCUCAGGUACCAAACUGGGUGGAUUCUCAUAUCUCUUCUAUAAAAUGUGUAGUAUUUGCAUAUAAUCUAUGCAUGUCCUCCUGUGUGGGCUAAAUCAUCUCCAGG
ensembl:lncRNA